GCGGCAGCCGGCGGAAGCAAGACGGACCCCGUGGUGCCCGAUUCGGUGGUCUACGUAUGCAGCGUCAUCAUUGUCAUCAUGGUGGUGGGCGGAGUGAUCGGUCUGUCCAUUCUCAUGAAGAAGCGACUCGACGUCAACCAGAACGUCACAUCAGCGGCACCAGCAGGUCCGGGGGCGCCACCACCCAUAGCAAAACUAGUGUCGGUCGAGGACUCGGAGUCCAAUG